GAUGAACGCUGGCGGCGUGCUUAACACAUGCAAGUCGAACGAAGCACUUUAUUUGAUUUCCUUCGGGACUGAUUAUUUUGUGACUGAGUGGCGGACGGGUGAGUAACUCGGGGGUAACCUGCCUUGUACAGGGGGAUAACAGUUGGAAACGGCUGCUAAUACCGCAUAAGCGCACAGCAUCGCAUGAUUCAGUGUGAAAAACUCCGGUGGUAUAAGAUGGACCCGCGUUGGAUUAGCUAGUUGGUGAGGUAACGGCCCACCAAGGCGACGAUCCAUAGCCGACGUGAGAGGGUGACCGGCCACAUUGGGACUGAGACACGGCCCAAACUCCUACGGGAGGCAGCAGUGGGGAAUAUUGCACAAUGGGCGAAAGCCUGAUGCAGCGACGCCGCGUGAGCGAAGAAGUAUUUCGGUAUGUAAAGCUCUAUCAGCAGGGAAGAUAAUGACGGUACCUGACUAAGAAGCACCGGCUAAAUACGUG
rnacentral:rRNA from 1 species